AGCGUUGAGCAGUGGCAGGAUCAUAGCCAAUGAGGCUGAUUCGAGGUGCGAUCACUGCUAAUUGAAAACAAAGAGCAGAUUCCCAUGGCUCACCUGUGUGUGGGACAGGAGACGCUCUUCUCUGCCCUCACUCUCCUGAAGAAAAGGG
ensembl:snRNA U4 U4 spliceosomal RNA